UGAUCUUUAGGGGGCCUGAGAGGGUGAUCCCCCACACUGGUACUGAGACACGGACCAGACUCCUACGGGAGGCAGCAGUGAGGAAUAUUGGACAAUGGGUGAGAGCCUGAUCCAGCCAUCCCGCGUGAAGGACGACGGCCCUAUGGGUUGUAAACUUCUUUUGUAUAGGGAUAAACCUACUCUCGUGAGAGUAGCUGAAGGUACUAUACGAAUAAGCACCGGCUAACUCCGUGCCAGCAGCCGCGGUAAUACGGAGGGUGCAAGCGUUAUCCGGAUUUAUUGGGUUUAAAGGGUCCGUAGGCGGGCUUGUAAGUCAGUGGUGAAAUCUCAUAGCUUAACUAUGAAACUGCCAUUGAUACUGCAGGUCUUGAGUAAAGUAGAAGUGGCUGGAAUAAGUAGUGUAGCGGUGAAAUGCAUAGAUAUUACUUAGAACACCAAUUGCGAAGGCAGGUCACUAUGUUUUAACUGACGCUGAUGGACGAAAGCGUGGGGAGCGAACAGGAUUAGAUACCCUGGUAGUCCACGCCGUAAACGAUGCUAACUCGUUUUUGGGGCUUCGGCUUCAGAGACUAAGCGAAAGUGAUAAGUUAGCCACCUGGGGAGUACGUUCGCAAGAAUGAAACUCAAAGGAAUUGACGGGGGCCCGCACAAGCGGUGGAUUAUGUGGUUUAAUUCGAUGAUACGCGAGGAACCUUACCAAGGCUUAAAUGGGAAUUGACAGGUUUAGAAAUAGACUUUUCUUCGGACAAUUUUCAAGGUGCUGCAUGGUUGUCGUCAGCUCGUGCCGUGAGGUGUUAGGUUAAGUCCUGCAACGAGCGCAACCCCUGUCACUAGUUGCCAUCAUUAAGUUGGGGACUCUAGUGAGACUGCCUACGCAAGUAGAGAGGAAGGUGGGGAUGACGUCAAAUCAUCACGGCCCUUACGCCUUGGGCCACACACGUAAUACAAUGGCCAGUACAGAGGGCAGCUACCAGGCGACUGGAUGCGAAUCUCGAAAGCUGGUCUCAGUUCGGAUUGGAGUCUGCAACUCGACUCUAUGAAGCUGGAAUCGCUAGUAAUCGCAUAUCAGCCAUGAUGCGGUGAAUACGUUCCCGGGCCUUGUACACACCGCCCGUCAAGCCAUGGAAGUUUGGGGUACCUGAAGUCGGUGACCGUAACAGGAGCUGCCUAGGGUAAAACAAGUAACUAGGGCUAAGUCGUAACAAGGUAGCCGUACCGGAAGGUGCGGCUGGAACAUCUCAUUU
rnacentral:rRNA from 1 species